UAAAGCGUGCGCAGGCGGUUAUAUAAGACAGAUGUGAAAUCCCGGGCUCAACCUGGGAACUGCAUUUGUGACUGUAUAGCUGGAGUGCGGCAGAGGGGGAUGGAAUUCCGCGUGUAGCAGUGAAAUGCGUAGAUAUGCGGAGGAACACCGAUGGCGAAGGCAAUCCCCUGGGCCUGCACUGACGCUCAUGCACGAAAGCGUGGGGAGCAAACAGGAUUAGAUACCCUUGU
rnacentral:rRNA from 1 species